rnacentral:tRNA from 1 species
UCACUCGUGGCAUAAGGGUAACGCGCACUAUCUAGUGAACAGGGAGUCGUGAGUUCGAUUCUCACCGAGAAAU